AAAGCCACAGUAAAAAUUUCCAAAUAUAGCUACAGUAGUGCAAAGGUGUAGUAUUUAUAGUCAUUCAAUGUUAGUUCUUUAUAUUAAUUUUGUUAACUUUUAGGGUUGAACAUUCGUGAUUUAGGAGAUGUGAUACAAAAGUUAGAGGAUGCACACUUUAGAAAAGCAGACUGGGAUAAAUUAGGGAUAAGCCUUGGUCUGCAUAAAAAUACACUGGAUGUGAUUAGUGCAAAUGAAAGAGGUGACGUUGAUAGGUGUUUUACUGAAUGCCUUGUAAAGUGGCUGAGCAGAGCUGAUGAUGUUGAUAGCAAAUGUAACGGAAAGCCAAGUUACAGUUCACUCGCUGAUGCUCUUGACCGUAUGGGAAAUAACAAAAACCAAGCUGACUAUAUAAGAGGUUUAUCAGAAGGAAAGAAACCAGCUAAAAGGCAGAAACUUGAUCCCGGCAGCACUAAGAAAUGUGGUUCUGAUUACAAAUAUAAUGAUGGAGAGUCUGAAGCAUGUGCAGCUGAUGA